AAGUCUGGUGCCAGCAGCCGCGGUAAUUCCAGCUCCAAUAGCGUAUAUUAAAGUUGUUGCAGUUAAAAAGCUCGUAGUUGAAUUUCGGGGUUAGUAGGUUUGUCAUGCCUCUGGUAUGUACUGGUCUCACUGAUUCCUCCUUCCUUAUGAACCGUAAUGCCAUUAAUUUGGUGUUGCGGGGAAUUUGGACUGUUACUUUGAAAAAAUUAGAGUGUUUAAAGCAAGCUAACGCUUGAAUACAUUAGCAUGGAAUAAUGAAAUAGGACGUUCGAUCUUAUUUUGUUGGUUUCUAGGAUUGACGUAAUGAUUAAUAGGGAUAGUUGGGGGCAUUAGUAUUCAAUUGUCAGAGGUGAAAUUCUUGGAUUUAUUGAAGACUAACUACUGCGAAAGCAUUUGCCAGGGAUGUUUUCAUUAAUCAAGAACGAAAGUUAGGGGAUCGAAGACGAUCAGAUACCGUCGUAGUCUUAACCAUAAACUAUGCCGACUAGGGAUCGGAUGAUGUUAAUUUUUUAAUGACUCAUUCGGCGCCUUACGGGAAACCAAAGUGUUUGGGU
rnacentral:rRNA from 1 species